AACGAACGCUGGCGGCAGGCCUAACACAUGCAAGUCGAGCGCGUCCUUCGGGGUGAGCGGCGGACGGGUGAGUAACGCGUGGGAACGUGCCCUUUUCUACGGAAUAGCCUCGGGAAACUGAGACUAAUACCGUAUACGCCCUUUGGGGGAAAGAUUUAUCGGAAAAGGAUCGGCCCGCGUUGGAUUAGGUAGUUGGUGGGGUAAUGGCCUACCAAGCCGACGAUCCAUAGCUGGUUUGAGAGGAUGAUCAGCCACACUGGAACUGAGACACGGCCCAGACUCCUACGGGAGGCAGCAGUGGGGAAUCUUAGACAAUGGGGGCAACACUGAUCUAGCCAUGCCGCGUGAGUGAUGAAGGCCUUAGGGUUGUAAAGCUCUUUCAGCUGGGAAGAUAAUGACGGUACCAGCAGAAGAAGCCCCGGCUAACUCCGUG
rnacentral:rRNA from 1 species